UUUCUUAACGUCAGUAUGUGCGUGAGCUCUAUCAUAAUAUUUUAAACUUCAUUUUUAUCGUUGCGAUUGCAUCUUUGAAGAUGCCAGGAGAGCACAUUCACACAUCUCACAGAUAGAACAACGGAAGAACAACCAUGCCCAAACCGGGACUCGAACCCAGGACGCUCAGGUCACGGGGAAGACGCGUUACCCCUAUGCCAGGACGCCGGCAAGAUUUAUAAUAGUCAAAUUUAUACUAUUUUAAUAUUUUGUAUGUAUUUGAAUCUUAUUGAUAUUUAUUUCUAGAGUAAAUUGGGAGUAUUUGAAGACAAGUAGUUAAAUUAAGUUUAAGCUUAAUCUCUCCGGGACUGAAGCCAUACGGAGAAAACGACAGACCGUCGUGAAGCAACCUCAUCCGCCAGAUGAAAUUCAGUCACACUAGCGUCGACACUAAAAAUCGACUGCAGGCUUAUUCACUCCACGAUCCAGUAAUUAUCUUUCUCUGUGGAUUCAAAUAUAAGGUUACUUGCUUUGUCUAAAUGGAGUUUUAUUACUAGAUGUAAGAUUUGAAUAGAUGCUGCAGCCUUAGAUGUGCUUAAAUACUGAAAAGGAAGAUGUGACAAAAAAAUAUCCAGAUUUAUGUUUCUUUUUCCGACUGGGACAAGCAAAUUGAAAUGGAAAGAGAAUGAAUACACAAAAGAGGAAUUUUCUCAGAAUCAUAUGUAAUAAAGUCAAUAAAAUGAAUUUUAUAUACAUUUUUUUAAA